rnacentral:rRNA from 1 species
UACGAAGGGACCUAGCGUAGUUCGGAAUUACUGGGCUUAAAGAGUUCGUAGGUGGUUGAAAAAGUUAGUGGUGAAAUCCCAGAGCUUAACUCUGGAACUGCCAUUAAAACUUUUCAGCUAGAGUAUGAUAGAGGAAAGCAGAAUUUCUAGUGUAGAGGUGAAAUUCGUAGAUAUUAGAAAGAAUACCAAUUGCGAAGGCAGCUUUCUGGAUCAUUACUGACACUGAGGAACGAAAGCAUGGGUAGCGAAGAGGAUUAGAUACCCUCGUAGUCCAUGCCGUAAACGAUGUGUGUUAGACGUUGGAAAUUUAUUUUCAGUGUCGCAGGGAAACCGAUAAACACACCGCCUGGGGAGUACGACCGCAAGGUUAAAACUCAAAUGAAUUGACGGGGACCCGCACAAGUAGUGGAGCAUGUGGUUUAAUUCGAAGAUACGCGCAGAACCUUACCAACACUUGACAUGUUCGUCGCGACUCUAAGAGAUUAGAGUUUUCGGUUCGGCCGGACGAAACACAGGUGCUGCAUGGCUGUCGUCAGCUCGUGUCGUGAGAUGUUGGGUUAAGUCCCGCAACGAGCGCAACCCUCACUUUUAGUUGCCAUCAUUAAGUUGGGCACUCUGAAAGAACUGCCAGUGAUAAGCUGGAGGAAGGUGGGGAUGACGUCAAGUCCUCAUGGCCCUUACGUGUUGGGCUACGCACGUGCUACAAUGGUAUCUACAACAGGAAGCAAGACUGCGAAGUUUAGCAAAUCCCUAAAAGAUACCUCAGUUCGGAUUGCACUCUGCAACUCGAGUGCAUGAAGCUGGAAUUACUAGUAAUCGUGGAUCAGCGUGCCACGGUGAAUGCGUUCCCGGGUCU